rnacentral:rRNA from 1 species
AUUGAACGCUGGCGGCAGGCCUAACACAUGCAAGUCGAGCGGAUGAAGGGAGCUUGCUCCUGGAUUCAGCGGCGGACGGGUGAGUAAUGCCUAGGAAUCUGCCUGGUAGUGGGGGAUAACGUCCGGAAACGGGCGCUAAUACCGCAUACGUCCUGAGGGAGAAAGUGGGGGAUCUUCGGACCUCACGCGAUCAGAUGAGCCUAGGUCGGAUUAGCUAGUUGGUGGGGUAAAGGCCUACCAAGGCGACGAUCCGUAACUGGUCUGAGAGGAUGAUCAGUCACACUGGAACUGAGACACGGUCCAGACUCCUACGGGAGGCAGCAGUGGGGAAUAUUGGACAAUGGGCGAAAGCCUGAUCCAGCCAUGCCGCGUGUGUGAAGAAGGUCUUCGGAUUGUAAAGCACUUUAAGUUGGGAGGAAGGGCAGUAAGUUAAUACCUUGCUGUUUUGGCGUUACCAACAGAAUAAGCACCGGCUAACUUCGUG